AUUGAACGCUGGCGGCAUGCCUUACACAUGCAAGUCGAACGGCAGCACGGGAGCAAUCCUGGUGGCGAGUGGCGAACGGGUGAGUAAUAUAUCGGAACGUGCCCAGUCGUGGGGGAUAACGCAGCGAAAGCUGUGCUAAUACCGCAUACGAUCUAAGGAUGAAAGCGGGGGAUCGCAAGACCUCGCGCGAUUGGAGCGGCCGCUAUCAGAUUGGCUAGUUGGUGGGGUAAAGGCCCACCAAGGCGACGAUCUGUAGCUGGUCUGAGAGGACGAGCAGCCACACUGGAACUGAGACACGGUCCAGACUCCUACGGGAGGCAGCAGUGGGGAGUUUUGGACAAUGGGCGCAAGCCUGAUCCAGCAAUGCCGCGUGCAGGAUGAAGGCCUUCGGGUUGUAAACUGCUUUUGUACGGAACGAAACGGCCCUUUCUAAUACAAGGGGCUAAUGACGGUACCGUAAGAAUAAGCACCGGCUAACUACGUGCCAGCCGCCGCGGUAAAAC
rnacentral:rRNA from 1 species